ACUCUCAGUGAAGUUUACUAUUUGAUUUCGGCUCAAAUUUAUCUAAGUAAAAGUGUU
rnacentral:tRNA from 1 species